AAAAAAAAAAAAAAAAAAAAAAAAAAAGUUUAGAACUUAACCAAGUAGAUUUUUUAAUACUACAUUUAGUA
rnacentral:tRNA from 1 species